GAAUAUGCAAACUACGGGGGCGGGCUUAGUCCCCUUCCUCUGGGACCCAAAAAGAUAUGGAUGCCUGGGGAUCGCCUUCAAAGCACUACUGCAAAGAGGACAAACAGAACUUUAGUGGGGAGAACUCAGCAGCCAGGGCACACACUAAAAGAAUUCCCAAAUAUAAACGUAUUUUGACGCCUCUACUGAGGAUAUGACACACUGUAGGUGUUUUUACCUUGGAGAUGGUUAGUGGUUGGCCAUGCUCUAGUCCUCCUUUGAGUGAGAAACCCCAUGGAGCUCCACCUUCAAGAGUUGCUUAAGGUGGUGGGGACCCAUCUCCCCUUGCCAUUUGGAAAGAAGAAAAUCUAGGGCAUCUUGGGAUAUUUUCUGGUAUGCAGAAUAUCAUCCCUGUAUGCACAACACGACAAACCUUGAAGAAGAUGAGCGCCAGCAUCAGAAGACCACACCGGAUGCCACUCCUGUUAGCUAAGAAAAGGAAAACAAGGCAAAAAUUCCCAUAGGCUCACCAAAAUUGGACAAUGGAAGACUGGAGGAACGUUGCCUAAUCUGAUAAGUCUUGAUUCCAGCUGCAACAUUGAGAUGGCAGGCUCAGAAUUUUGUGUAAACAACAUGAAAGGAAGGAUCCUUUUUAUCAAUGGUUCAGGCUGGUGGUGAUGAUGGUGUAAUGGUGUGGGGACAUUUUCUUGUCAUUCUUUGGGCCCCUUAGUAUAAUUGAGCAUUGUUGGUACUAAGGAGGUGUUCCCCUUCCAUGGCAUAAAUAUUGCAGUCCUGGAAAACCCCUUUAAUGAAAAUUA